rnacentral:rRNA from 1 species
AGUAGCAAUACUUAGUGGCAGACGGGUGAGUACAUGUAGGUAUCUGCCCUUUGGCCUGGAAUAACACGAGGAAACUUGUGCUAAUACCGGAUAAGUCUUUACGGAGAAAGCUUUAUGCACCAUUGGAUGAGCCUGCACUUGAUUAGUUUGUUGGUGGGGUAACGGCCUACCAAGACUGUGAUCAAUAGCUGAUUUGAGAGGAUGAUCAGCCACAUUGGGACUGAGACACGGCCCAAACUCCUACGGGAGGCAGCAGUGGGGAAUCUUGCACAAUGGAGGAAACUCUGAUGCAGCGAUGCCGCGUGAGUGAAGAAGGCCCUUGGGUUGUAAAGCUCUUUCGUCGGGGAAGAAAAUGACUGUACCCGAAUAAGAAGGUCCGGCUAACUUCGUGCCAGCAGCCGCGGUAAUACGAAGGGACCUAGCGUAGUUCGGAAUUACUGGGCUUAAAGAGCUCGUAGGUGGUUGAAAAAGUUGAUGGUGAAAUCCCAGAGCUCAACUCUGGAACUGCCAUCAAAACUUUUCAGCUAGAGUGUGAUAGAGGAAAGCGGAAUUUCUAGUGUAGAGGUGAAAUUCGUAGAUAUUAGAAAGAAUACCAAAAGCGAAGGCAGCUUACUGGGUCAUUACUGACACUGAGGAGCGAAAGCAUGGGUAGCGAAGAGGAUUAGAUACCCUCGUAGUCCAUGCCCGAAACGAUGUGUGCUAGACGUUGGAAAUUUAUUCUCA